GAUGAACGCUGGCGGUGUGCCUAAUACAUGCAAGUCGAACGAGGUCUUCGGACCUAGUGGCGAACGGGUGAGUAACACGUUGGUACCUACCCUCUAGUGGGGAAUAACUGGCCGAAAGGUCGGCUAAUACCGCAUAAUACCGCAAGGUUAAAGUAGUAAUACGCUAGAGGAGGGGCCUGCGUCCCAUUAGCUUGUUGGUAGUGUAAUGGACUACCAAGGCAACGAUGGGUAGCUGGAUCGAGAGGUUGACCAGCCACACUGGGACUGAGAUACGGCCCAGACUCCUACGGGAGGCAGCAGUAAGGAAUCUUCCACAAUGGGCGAAAGCCUGAUGGAGCAACACCGCGUGCAGGAUGACGGCCUUCGGGUUGUAAACUGCUUUUAUAUGGGAAGAUUAUGACGGUACCAUAUGAAUAAGCACCGGCUAACUACGUGCCAGCAGCCGCCGUAACAC
rnacentral:rRNA from 1 species